CCCCUAGAUGUUCUGGGCCGCACGCGCGCUACACUGAACAGUUCAACAAGUCUUAACCUUGGCCGAUAGGUCUGGGUAAUCUUUGAACGCUGUUCGUGAUUGGGAUAGACCUUUGCAAUUAUGGGUCUUCAACGAGGAAUUCCUAGUAAACGCAAGUCAUCAGCUUGCAUUGAUUACGUCCCUGCCCUUUGUACACACCGCCCGUCGCACCUACCGAUUGAAUGGUCCGGUGAAAUCUCGGGACGGCGGCUUGGUCGCUUGCGUCCGACUGCUGAAACUUGAUUAAACCAUAUCAUUUAGAGGAAGGUGAGGUCGUAACA
rnacentral:rRNA from 1 species